CCCUGUGCUUGGUCCCUGUGCUUGUGUUCCAACGUUAUCCUUCUUCACCUAGGUGGAGGCCUUAGUUCCUGCAGAAGAGGUCAGAGGAGAUCUCUUCAGCUACCUCCGGGUUUCAACCCUGAGAAAGCAGGAUGAGCUCCUUCCCUGACCCACACGCCAGCCCCUUGCUCUGAGGCACCUUCCUUCCCUCUGCCGCAGCAACGCUGCUCUCGUCUCUGGCCUGGCGGUUUCCGCUAUGAUAACCACAAAUUUGACUUUGAAAUCUGAAGCACUAACUGUUUGCCAGAGAGCAAGAGGAGAAGUUGGUGUGGUCCAUACAGGUCAGCCUCUUUGCAGGGGCUGGAAGAAUGAAUGGAGGAUGCAGAGAAGCCAGCAAACAAGGUACCUGCCACACGUACUGUUUACAACAGCUGCGCCUAAUUUAAAGCAACAAAACUUCAAAGAAAGGAAAGAACAUCUUCUGGAAACAUCAGGAUGAUCUGACUCCAGGCACUGACACCAUCAUCCAUCAGAAGUCAUGACCUGUGAUUUGAGGGUAUGAAUUAGAUCGUAGAUUCUCAAGAGAAUUGAUGCCCUUUGGCAACUGUAAAAUGAAGAACUCUGUAUCAUUUUGUUGAGGAUGAGUGAUGUAGUUUUUUGUUUUUGUUUUUUAAUACGAUGGCUUUAAGUGAAGACAGGGCCACACAAAUUGUAUGACUAACUCCUCUCAAAAGUUAGAUAUCUUUUGCAGCCUACUCACUGAAGUCAUUUACAGUUCUUAAUACCAGCAAAGUGGAUAUAAUUGCACAGUGGGAUUUAUUCUAGAUGAAUCAGGAUAUGGGGGAGAAAAAUGGACACAUUAAGAAGAAAAAUUAAAUUGAGCACUUAAAAUAAUUGACCAAAGAAAAUGGUCAAUGUAUGUUUUAUCUUUUCUUCCUUUAAAAAUACAUGUUGUAUGGAAAUUGUGAUGAGGGGAAAAAAAAAAAAAAAAAAAAGAAAAAACCCACACACAAUUAAAAGGGACAGGUACCUGACUGGGUUUUCCCAUCUCUUCCCCCAAAUGUCCAGCUCACAGGAACUCCUAUGGUCCACCUCUGUGCAGAGAUGAAAAUCUUUCCUUUCCAGAGUCAAAGUCAGCUCUCUGAAUGUUUAUAGCCUAAAAUUAGUGUCUGUGAAGCUGGUAAGACUGUUGCUUUGAACACUGGUGUUUUAGGCAGUUUCCAGGUAACACUGAAAUGACCGUUUCUUAGCACUUGCCAAACCUAUGAACAAUUGUUAAAAUCUAAAUUAAACCCAUAUUAAACUGACUUUUUUUUUUGACAUCAAAGUGAUGCCAAGAUACCUGAUAUGAUACCCAGAGUGAGUAUGGAAAAGAGGGACUCUCACUAUGCUUUUGGGAAAAGUGUAAAUUGACACAACUUUUUCAAACAAACUUGAUAAAAUGUACUUCCAAGUCUUAAAGCAGUCAUUUAUUUAAUCAAGAGUAUUUAUUGAGUGUCUUCUAUAUCAUGGGCUGGCAAUUAUAUUCUAUCAGUGAGUGAAUAGACAUUACACAGAUAAUUACAAGUGCAAUGACCCCCAUGAAAGGAAAGUCAAAAGGACCUGAGAGAGAGGCAUCAGUCCUGCGAAAGUAAUUAGUCUACAGUAAGGUAUAAACAGUGAGAACUACCUAAAUGUCCCCAGGCACUGGAUUAAAUAAAUGGUGGUAUAUCCAUGCAGUGGAAUAACAUGAUGGUGUUAAGAAUAAAGUUAUAGGGAGGUCCCGUCGUGGCGCAGUGGUUAACGAAUCCGACUAGGAACCAUGAGGUUGCGGGUUCGGUCCCUGCCCUUGCUCAGUGGGUUAAUGAUCCGGCGUUGCCGUGAGCUGUGGUGUAGGUUGCAUACGAGGCUCGUAUCCCGCGUGCUGUGGCUCUGGCAUAGGCUGGUGGCUACAGCUCCGAUUCAACCCCUAGCCUGGGAACCUCCAUAUGCCGUGGGAGCGGCCCAAGAAAUAGCAACAACAACAACAACAACAACAACAAAAAGACAAAAAAGACAAAAAAAAAAA
rnacentral:lncRNA from 9 species